UUGGAGGGCAAGUCUGGUGCCAGCAGCCGCGGUAAUUCCAGCUCCAAUAGCGUAUAUUAAAGUUGUUGCAGUUAAAAAGCUCGUAGUUGAAUUUCGGGGUCAAUAAGUUGGUCGUGCCAAUGGUAUGUACUGGCUUUAUUGAUUCCUACCUCUUGAAGAACUGUGAUGCCAUUAAUUUGGUGUUGCAGGGAAUCAGGACUGUUACCUUGAAAAAAUUAGAGUGUUUAAAGCAGGCUUACGCUUGAAUACAUUAGCAUGGAAUAAUGAAAUAGGACGUUUGAACCUAUUUUGUUGGUUUCUAGGAUCGACGUAAUGAUUAAUAGGGAUAGUUGGGGGCAUUAGUAUUCAAUUGUCAGAGGCGAAAUUCUUGGGUUUAUUGAAGACUAACUACUGCGAAAGCAUUUGCCAAGGAUGUUUUCAUUAAUCAAGAACGAAAGUUAGGGGAUCGAAGACGAUCAGAUACCGUCGUAGUCUUAACCAUAAACUAUGCCGACUAGGGAUCGGAUGAUGUUAAUUUUUUAAUGACUCAUUCGGCGCCUUACGGGAAACCAAAGUGUUUGGGUUC
rnacentral:rRNA from 1 species